rnacentral:rRNA from 1 species
CCUACGGGUGGCAGCAGUGAGGAAUAUUGGUCAAUGGGCGCGAGCCUGAACCAGCCAAGUCGCGUGAAGGAUGACUGCCCUACGGGUUGUAAACUUCUUUUAUAAGGGAGUAAAAUGAGGCACGUGUACCGUUUUGACUGUACUUUAUGAAUAAGGAUCGGCUAACUCCGUGCCAGCAGCCGCGGUAAUACGGAGGAUGCGAGCGUUAUCCGGAUUUAUUGGGUUUAAAGGGAGCGUAGGUGGGUUGUUAAGUCAGUUGUGAAAGUUUGCGGCUCAACCGUAAAAGUGCAAUUGAUACUGGCAGUCUAGAGUACAGAUGAGGUAGGCGGAAUACAUGGAGUAGCGGUGAAAUGCAUAGAUAUAACUAAGAACACCGAUAGCGAAGGCAGCUUACUAAACUGACACUGACACUGAUGCUCGAGAGUGUGGGUAGCAAACAGGAUUAGAUACCCCAGUAGUC